UACGGAGGGGGCUAGCGUUGUUCGGAAUUACUGGGCGUAAAGCGCACGUAGGCGGAUCGAUCAGUCAGGGGUGAAAUCCCAGAGCUCAACUCUGGAACUGCCUUUGAUACUGUCGAUCUGGAGUAUGGAAGAGGUGAGUGGAAUUCCGAGUGUAGAGGUGAAAUUCGUAGAUAUCGGAGGAACACCAGUGGCGAAGGCGGCUCACUGGUCCGAUUACUGACGCUGGAGGUGCGAAAGCGUGGGGAGCAAACGG
rnacentral:rRNA from 1 species